UACGGAAGGCAGCAGGGGGAAUAUUGCACAAUGGGCGCAAGCCUGAUGCAGCCAUGCCGCGUGUAUGAAAAAGGCCUUCGGGUUGUAAAGUACUUUCAGUCGUGAGGAAGGUGUUAAGGUUAAUAACCUUAGCAAUUGACGUUAGCGACAGAAGAAGCACCGGCUAACUCCGUGCCAGCAGCCGCGGUAAUACGGAGGGUGCGAGCGUUAAUCGGAAUUACUGGGCGUAAAGGGCACGCAGGCGGUUAAUUAAGUUGGAUGUGAAAUCCCCGGGCUUAACCUGGGAAUGGCAUUCAAGACUGGUUAGCUAGAGUCUUGUAGAGGGGGUAGAAUUCCAUGUGUAGCGGUGAAAUGCGUAGAGAUGUGGAGGAAUACCGGUGGCGAAAGGCGGCCCCUGGACAAAGACUGACGCUCAUGUGCGAAAGCGUGGGGAGCAAACAGGGAUUAGGAUA
rnacentral:rRNA from 1 species